rnacentral:rRNA from 1 species
AAGGGCCAUCGCUCAACGGAUAAAAGCUACCCCGGGGAUAACAGGCUUAUCUCCCCCAAGAGUUCACAUCGACGGGGAGGUUUGGCACCUCGAUGUCGGCUCAUCGCAUCCUGGGGCUGUAGUCGGUCCCAAGGGUUGGGCUGUUCGCCCAUUAAAGCGGUACGCGAGCUGGGUUCAGAACGUCGUGAGACAGUUCGGUCCCUAUCCGUCGUGGGCGUAGGAAAUUUGAGAGGAGCUGUCCUUAGUACGAGAGGACCGGGAUGGACAUACCUCUGGUGUACCAGUUGUCGUGCCAACGGCAUAGCUGGGUAGCUAUGUGUGGACGGGAUAAGUGCUGAAAGCAUCUAAGCAUGAAGCCCCCCUCAAGAUGAGAUUUCCCAACUUCGGUUAUAAGAUCCCUCAAAGAUGAUGAGGUUAAUAGGUUCGAGGUGGAAGCAUGGUGACAUG